rnacentral:misc_RNA from 1 species
UUUUCUAGAUAGCUUGCCUGUACACUCUUCAUUUAAAACAGCUUAUUCCCAGUUAUUUUUCUCAACAAAAAAAAUGGCUGACAACGAGCAGAGCUCCAUCGUCUGCGAUAACGGCUCCGGCAUGGUGAAGGCCGGCUUCUCUGGCGAUGAUGCUCCGCGCCACGUCUUUCCGUCCAUUGUGGGCCGCCCGAAGAACAUGCAGGCCAUGAUGGGAAGCGCGAACAAGACGGUUUAUGUUGGCGACGAGGCGCAGUCUAAGCGCGGCGUGCUGUCGCUGAAGUACCCGAUCGAGCACGGCAUCGUGACGAACUGGGAUGACAUGGAGAAGAUCUGGCACCAUACCUUCUACAACGAGCUGCGCGUGAACCCCGAGCAGCACAACGUGCUGUUGACGGAGGCGCCGAUGAACCCAAAGCAGAACCGUGAGAAGAUGACGCAGAUCAUGUUCGAGACAUUCAAUGUGCCGUCGCUGUACAUUGGUAUUCAGGCUGUGCUGUCGCUGUAUUCCUCUGGCCGCACUACCGGUAUUGUGCUGGACGCGGGCGAUGGCGUGACGCACACCGUGCCGAUCUACGAGGGCUACUCGCUGCCGCACGCGGUGCGGCGUGUGGACAUGGCUGGCCGCGACCUGACGGAGUACCUGAUGAAGAUCAUGAUGGAGACGGGUAUGACGUUCACGACGACCGCGGAGAAAGAGAUUGUGCGCAACGUGAAGGAGCAGCUGUGCUACGUAGCGCUCGACUUUGAGGAGGAGAUGACGAACAGCGCCAAGUCGGCGAACGAGGAGGCGUUUGAGCUGCCGGACGGCAACGUCAUGAUGGUGGGCAAUCAGCGCUUCCGCUGCCCGGAGGUGCUGUUCAAGCCGUCGCUGAUUGGCCUCGACGAGGCGCCUGGCUUCCCGGAGAUGGUCUACCAGUCCAUCAACAAGUGCGACAUUGAUGUGCGCCGCGAGCUGUACGGGAACAUCGUGCUCUCCGGCGGGUCGACCAUGUUCCUCAACCUUCCGGAGCGCCUGGCAAAAGAGAUCUCGAACCUGGCGCCGUCGUCGAUAAAGCCGAAGGUGGUUGCGCCGCCAGAGCGAAAAUACAGCGUCUGGAUCGGUGGCUCGAUUUUGUCAUCGCUGACGACGUUCCAGACAAUGUGGGUGAAGAAGAGCGAGUACGACGAGUCUGGCCCAAGCAUUGUGCACAACAAGUGCUUCUGAGGGUCCUCACCCGACUGGGCAGCUGUAGUGCAGAGGACUUUGUGCGACCGGAAGACGCUAGCGGAAGUGGGCAUAGUGGAGCUAGCGUGCGCGCGGUAGCUUUCGCAGCACUUGGGUUUUGUCUUCUGUACUGUCUGGUUCUUGUGUUUAUUUUUGGUUAGAUGGUGCGUUGUUCUACUUUCAAUCAUCGUUUUGUUUUGUUUUUCAUAUCUAUUUUCCAAAGAACUCUGAUUGUCUUCAUCCGCCCGGUUUUCCCUGUCUGGUCUCGCUUUGAGGUUGUUUUUAUUUUUCUCCGGUUUUUCCCCAUUGGGGUAAAAGUGCGUCCCGUGUGUCUACUCCUCCAGCCCCCACAAACGGUUCAGAUGUACGGAGCACCUGCUCUUCUCUGACGUGCUCUCUUUGCUCUUGCCAUCUUGCGCGGCUUCUAGCCUCCCUGCCACGUACGGAUGCUGACGCCAAGCAGCAUUCUGCGCAGGAAAGCGUGGUAUCCCGACGAGGCAGAUUGCGAGCUCGCAUGUAGCGGCGACGGACAUCCUACACACAUUACCCUCAUGUAGAGCCUCAAGGCAAGGGAAGAAGAAAAAGGUCGACACGUCGUUACGUGUUUUUUUUGUGCCGGGGAGUAGGCUGGCGCCGAUCUUCUCUUCAAGUAUCCUUUC